UACGUAGGGCGCGAGCGUUGUCCGGAAUCAUUGGGCGUAAAGAGCUCGUAGGCGGCCGGUUGCGUCUGCUGUGAAAUCCCGGGGCUUAACCCCGGGCGUGCAGUGGAUACGGGCUGGCUGGAGGCAGGCAGGGGAGAAUGGAAUUCCCGGUGUAGCGGUGAAAUGCGCAGAUAUCGGGAGGAACACCGGUGGCGAAGGCGGUUCUCUGGGACGGUACUGACGCUGAGACGCGAAAGCGUGGGGAGCGAACAGG
rnacentral:rRNA from 1 species